ensembl:lncRNA
GUGAAAAUGACGAAUCUGCGGAUGCAACAUCUGGAGCACGGGGAGUGGAGUCUGUAAAUAAAUCUAACCACCAAAAACCAGUUAACGUGGAACACCCUGCGUGAAAACGGGGCAGAAACGUGGGGCAGGUCUGUAAAUGUAAAUAUGAAUUGUAACACUUUUCCCAUUUCCAUAAUCUGCUGAUAUGAUAUGAUUGGGCUGUUAAACCUACAGGGGAACUACGAACAUUAUGGUGUUGUACUAUCGAGUUGUCUUGCAUGAAGACCACAGAUAAGCGCCAUAAAUCAAACUCAUGUCAGGUCUAAUGGGUCGAAGUGCGUUUAAGGUUCGCUUACAUUACCCUUUCUAAAAUCUGUUGCCGUGUUGCGAGCCUUUUGAAUUGUCGUGAAUUGAUUUACACUUCGGGUAAGCUGGGACAAGAAAUGGAAUUUCAACUUUUGCAUUGAAGUUGUUUGUUUUUCUUCUGUGGUUCUCGUUUACUUGACCUGCAUGAAACAACACAGUAUGAACGUUGACAUGUGCUUCAGUCAUCCGCAGUGACAUUAUUAAGUGCAGGUCGUGACAGAGAAGACAAACGUACUUUGGCAACAAAACGUCCAACGGUAGGAGAACUGCGAAAAUACGUGACAGAAAACUUAUAUUAAAUUCCAUACCAGAACUAUUUGAUAUACAGAUCGCGUUUAUCAGUUUAUUAUCAAGAGUUAUUAAGUGCUCAUAUGAUUUUUAAAAUUAUUCUCGAGUGAAAGCGCCUUUCUGAAUAAUGGUACGUCCUAUAAAACCCCACUAGAGAGUGCUGUGGUACAAUUUUAAGGACAACCAUCACUAAGCUAUUCCAAUUCUUUAUGAAAGCUAUUCAUAAGUAAAUGGUUUUGUGUUUGUGAAUUAUGUAAAAAGCCAUGUACUAAUGUUCUGAAAGUCCUAAGCCAUUAAAUACAAAUAUACACAUCAGCCAACUUUAAUAAGUGCCUUCAAAUUUGCCUUCAAAUGGACCAAGCAGCCAAGAACGUCCAAGCACAGAUAUAAUCUUUAAAUUAUGUUUUUUUUUUAUUAUAUCCCAGAAAAGAUAAGAGGUUAUUUCAAAAAUACACAAUAAUAGAAAUAAGCUAUUUUAAGAACUAUGUAGGCCUAUAAAAGAGGUAAACUAAACAGACUUCUACUCAAAAAAUAUCAUAACUCAACAAACUGACCUAUUUAGUAACUGAAUAAACCUUCUUUUAGCAUCAGAUUUUGUUUUGGGGUAUUUCGGUGGGCCUAUGUGAAAUGUAGCUUCAGUUUCCUGUUCUUAACUUAUGUGGUCUGCUGCUGCUGUAGCUCAUCUGCUUCAAGUUUCAACCUGCUGUGCUCUUCUGCAUACCUUGGCUAUAAUGAGUGGCUAUUUGAAUUACUGUUGUCUUCCUAUCAACUCAAAGCAGUCUGUCCAUUCUUCUUUGACCUCUGACAUCAAGUAGACAUUUUCACCCAGAGAAACUCAAGACUUUCAGUCUGCCUUGAAGCAUUCCAAGGGUGUAUAGUAUACCCAGAACAUGGUUGAGACACAUCUCUCGGCUGGCCUGGGAACAACUCAGCGUUUCUCCGGAUAAGCUGAAGAAGGUGGCUGGGGAGGGGGAAGUUUGUGCUCUCUGCUUAGGCUACUGUCCCCACAACUUGACCCUGACUAAGCAGAAGAGGAUGGAUGGACGAACAGAUGGAAAAAUAUUCUCUGCAAACUCCAGAGAAACCCGAGAGAUUGUUGUGUGGAAAAAUCCCAGUAAAUCCCAGUAGGAAAGAUAAAGCCAUAAAGAAUGUCUGAUAUAAAAUAUUACAUGUCACUGUCUGUGACUGUGGGUGUCAUGUUGGUGGGCCUGCUCUACUCCAUCUGUUUAGCCUGUCAGUGGAUUUAUGGUUGGCCUGACAAGCCUGGGUAUAAGAAGUACAUAGAAGCUCUUAAUCCAAGGCGAAUAUAUCGUCUGACCCUCACUACACUGGAUCUUCUCAAAUACCUGCAGUAUUGGAAAGUUUACUUUCAGCUGAAGUCAUGGUAUAACGAUGAGAGGAAUCUAAAGUAUUAUGAAAAGGGCAUCACGUUUGGCCGCAGAGGCAACAAGCUGGACUUAUACCACCCUCCAAAUGUAAGGAAGCUGCCAUCACCGGCGGUAGUAUUUGUCUACGGAGGUGCAUGGGGCACAGGAGAAAGGUCCACUUACUGUUUACUGGGGAGUCGGAUGGCUGAAGAACUGAAAGCAACUGUAAUUUGUCCUGAUUACUGCACAUAUCCAAAGGGGAAUGUUUUAGGGAUGGUCCAAGAUAUCACUGACUGCUUGAUUUGGGCCCACCAGAAUGGAGAGAAAUUCAACUUUGACAAAGAUAACAUUGUAUUAAUUGGGCAUUCAGCAGGUGCACAUUUGUGUACACUCACCACACUGUUUCUUGUUGAUACAAGAGAGGAGCUUUCCAUAGAGCCAGGCAAGCAGCAGGAAGUCUUGCUCUCGAUAAGAGGAAUUAUUGGUCUGAGCGGCGUCUACAACAUCGUGGACCAUUAUGAGCAUGAACAGAAACGAGGAGUUGAACGAGUGUCCCCCAUGCACAAAGCGAUGAAUGGUGUGGAAAACCUUCCAUACUACUCACCAACACACUUACUAAAGAAGCUCAGCCAGGACAAAGUCAACAGAUUGCCUCCAUUCGCUUUGCUCCAUGGGACCAAUGACAUUAUGGUUCCUGCUGAAUCUACCAUAAGAUUCUCUGAGCUUCUCACUUUGCGCUCUGUUAAGAUGUCAUUGAAUGUUCUUCAUGGAGUCGCCCACACUGAGACUGCUGUUGAUCUCAUGGUGUUAAACAGACGCCUCUACCGUCCAAUCUACAGAUACAUCAAAGAAGAGUUUAGAAAAUUUCUGGGUACCUGCUGACUGCAUGUGAUUAGAAAAGUAUUCACACAGCUCCAGUAUGUGCUGAAUUGUACUGUACUGUAAAUUAAAAUCAACCAUUUAAUUAUGAGUUUGACUUGAUUCUCUGAAGCUCUGAUUUUAUAAAACUAAUAUGAUAUUUUUAACAGUACUUUAAUUAUUUUGGAGAGAUGCUCUUUAUAGUGCUGUCAAAUAAGUAAUCACAAAGUGAAAUCAAUUAUAGAACAGUAGGGUUUAUUAGGAAGCUACACACAAUAUUCAAAUCCAG